CGGGCCGCGUGGGAUUUAAACAAAGAGGCGUGCUGGAUUUGCCCGGACUGGACUCGCCGCUAUCUGUAAAAUAUCUAAAUAUAUCGUGAUCUGCAACGGAGCUCACGUGUGCUUCUCUGUGUGUGUGUGCAGUACGCCAAGGAUCCAGUGACUGUCGGGUGAAAGCCGAGUGGCAGGGGUCUCCCGAACCGGGCUGAUGAGGUCCAGCGGCGCGCGCCCUGCAGACUCGCCCUGAAGAGAUAAAAGAGCGAGGCGGG